CACAGCUGAGCGUUCAAAUGCGGGCGGCCAGCUAGCCAAUCUGGCCUCGCCACAUCGGCGCGAGAAGCCUGUUUCCGGCCGGCCAUCUUGGGUGUAGAACUCUUCCCCGAGGCUUUGCCGUAACUAUGAACGCCAUAUACUCCUGGGGUUGAAAGAAGGAAAGUACCCCUGAGUGUGGCUUACUGUGGCUGCUUGCGUGUUCCCCGGGGUCACGGGGCUGGGAUACGCCCCCCCCCCCCACGAGCCUCCCUCUGAGCUCCAGGACCCCGUGGCACUUGCUGUGCUGGAGCCUAGGUCCAUGUCCCUUUGUCGGCGGAGCGGCAGGCUCGCCCCGCCCCCGCACCACCACCCCGCCCCCUGCAUUAACCGAAGAUUCCGGAGCUGCCUUUGCUGUAAGCCAUGCACAGUUUCCCGGUUCGUCGAAGACAAGUGGCAGAGCUGCGCCCUCUCGCUGGAGAAAGGGCAAGGAGAAGCCUCCCUCAUGAUCCAGGGCAUGGCAGACCCCGUGUACACCUUUGGGCCCACCCUGACCAGGCAGAGAAAAGAGACGUUAUGCUCCCCAGGGUGACUUGGAGACAGAGGCGACAACCGCACCAAGGGUGGCAAAGGAGCACUGUCAUUCCUUCUCCGGCUGUGCCCCACUCCUAGCCUUUGAGGGCAGCCUUGCGGUGCAGUUCUGGACGCUUCCGUCCUCCCAGGGCCCAGAUUGUGGCACACCCCCACGCCUCCUCAACACACUCCUUUCCCUGCCCACUGUGUUCCAGCACAUCGAAAGUGUGCCCCUGAGAUGGUUCACAAUAAGCCCCUCAACCCCCCAACAAGAAUAGGAUCCAAGAGAGGUGGGCAGAGUUAGUGCUUGAGUUACCAGCGAUCUCCGUAAAUCCCAGAACUGUCCACACUUCUGGAGGUGGGGACAGGAGAAAGAUUCCCGUCUCCACCUCAUGCCAAGGGAGUCCGGGCAUUGAAACCGAUCAACUACUGGCCACCAGUGAGUCCAAGUUCAGUCAACCAAACAAGCACGGGCCUGUAUUUCUUACCAGCUACGAGUGCUCCACAUUCCGUCAGUAACAUUUAGAACCCUUGCAGGUACAGAAGGAAGGGAAUUUUUAGGGCUGUCGGGGGAGUUCUGUGCGUGUCGUCGUGCUGUGACUGGAGCUGAGAGGUAAGGAACUAAAGUUGCCAUUGUUUUCUCUGCGCGCUCCGGGAUCACCACACCACAGUCUUCAGAGCCGUCCUUACCGCCGUGACAGUACAGCAGCCACGCCGGCUCCUCAGGGCUUCCCGCAGGUGGCCCUUCAUCCCCGUUCACUGCGGGUGACAGCCUGACGAAGGAAGAGGUCCCCGCAGACCACGGGUGCUACGUAGGCGCCCAGUUCCCAUUGGCAGGGAGCCCGAGCCCUGCCCUGGGGCCCAAGGGCGCGACCACACCCAUCCCCACAUCCCCACUUGGCGGGCCCCUCUUCUGAGACCACUCCCAGGUCCGACUCUGUAGCAGUCGGGCAGGAGAAGGAGACGAGAAAUAGACACGGUUUCUCAGCAGACGAAAUCGAAUACGAGCAUUUGGUGGCUCAGGGCCCGGAGGGCUGAAGAAACAGAUCGUAUGGCAGAAAGCUGCCGUCCCUAAGGCGAGGGGAAGCGGGGAAGAGGUCGGGCUGAGCAGACACCUAGACGCCAGGAUGAGGGGCCUGGAAGAGGCAGAGCCUGGAUCUCUGAGGAGGGGCUGCCACAAUUUCUCAGGGAAGGCGGAAGCAACCUUAUCCACCACGAGGGGAUAUGGGGCAGGAGAUGAUUUCUGAGGACCAUCUUCCAGGCCAUUGAAGACUUGGGGAGGUGGAGUAGCUUUCUAUCACAAUAACGCAAACAACGCGUAGAUAUCCACGAGCGCCGCUCUCUGAUCUCCUGAGAAAUCAAAGGUAAUGCCAGUCUGGGUUUUAAAGUCCCCCCCCCGCCCCACCCCACCCCACCCCACCCCAGUUAAGCACAAGAGGGGAAGGCGGCUCUCUUUCUCACCCUGCCCCCUUUGCUGUGUGCUGGCCCGAGGAGGCUUCCGUGGGGGGUGGCCACCUGGGCUCACCUCU